UUACCCUCGUACCUUUUGCAUCAUGAUUUGGCAAGACUCGCUCAAGCAAAAGGAUUUGUAGUUUGAGAACCCGAAUCCAGGUGAGCUACUCCAGGCCAGCCUGUUUUACAGGGCCAACCCGUCUCUGUGGCAAAAGAUGUGGGAAGAGCUUUGAGUAGAGUGAUAAACCUACCGAACUUGGUGAUAGCUGGUUGCCUAGGAAAUGAAUAGAAGUUCAGCCAUUCUAAUUCUCUAAACAUUUAAUGAGUUAUUCAUAAGGGGUACAGCCCUUUUGAAACAGGAUACAACUUUUGGCAGUUGGAUAAAGAUUAUAUUAAUUUAAGGCUAUUAUACACUAGUGGGCUUAAAAGCAGCCACCUAAAUUAAAAGCGUUAAAGCUUAAGUAUACAAUCAGAAUAUAUCACUCUUACUCCCCCAACCCUACUAGGCCUACUCAUGCCCCCAUGAGUGUGAUAAUGCUAAAAUGAGUAAUAAGAGAAGCAUCUCUCCUCGCAUAAGUGUAACUCAGAACGAACUACUCGCUGAAAACUGACGGACCCAAAAAGAGGGAACUAACCUAAUACUAGAAAACAAAUUCCCGUUGACCUUACACAAGAAUGCCAACAAGGAAAGACUAAAAAAGAAGGAAGGAAUUCAGCAAAAAAGCCUCGCCUGUUUACC
rnacentral:rRNA from 1 species